CCCUUAUGAUGAAACCUUCACAUGUCCGACCUCCUGAAUGGUGCCAGAGCCUGAAAAGGUGAACCCACUGGUAUCAUCAGGAGGAGAGGAUGGAGGCCAUGUUCCAGCAGGAACGGUCUGACAAGGGU